UUGGGCCGUCAACAAAAUUGGGCUCCCUGGCCCUUGGAGCGGAUUGUCUCGCUGUCGAGUUGAUUCUUCGUUCUACGAGACUACAAGUCUACAACUAGAACAGUCAGAGACAAUAGAAAAUAUUUUAGUAACCAACACAACGAUGCUAGUACACCAAUAUAUGAUACUUUAGUGGUGUUUGGAUCAGUAGUUUAUGAGCUAAAUUUUAGCUCCUAAACUUUAGUUCUGCUGGGCUGUUUGGAUUCGUGGACUAAAAUGGACUAAAGUCCAUAAAUGCUGUUCAACAAAGACACUAUUAUCCUCCUUCCCUACCCCUCCUCUCCACCAG
rnacentral:lncRNA from 1 species